AACGAACGCUGGCGGCAUGCCUAGCACAUGCAAGUCGAACGAAGGCUUCGGCCUUAGUGGCGCACGGGUGAGUAACGCGUGGGAAACUGCCUAUUGGUGGGGAAUAACGACGGGAAACUGUCGCUAAUACCGCAUAAGCCCUUCGGGGGAAAGAUUUAUCGCCGAUAGAUGUGCCCGCGUCCGAUUAGCUAGUUGGUGAGGUAAUGGCUCACCAAGGCGACGAUCGGUAGCUGGUCUGAGAGGAUGAUCAGCCACACUGGGACCGAGACACGGCCCAGACUCCUACGGGAGGCAGCAGUGGGGAAUAUUGGACAAUGGGCGAAAGCCUGAUCCAGCAAUGCCGCGUGAGUGAUGAAGGCCUUAGGGUUGUAAAGCUCUUUCGGGUGGGACGAUGAUGACGGUACCACCAGAAGAAGCCCCGGCUAACUUCGUGCCAGCCGCCGCGGUAA
rnacentral:rRNA from 1 species